AUGCUGCCUCUGGCAGCACAUAUACUAAAACUAGAAUGAUACAGAGAUUAGCACAGUCCCUGACCCCUGAGCAGGCAAAUUUAUGAAGCAUUCCGUUUUUUC
rnacentral:snRNA from 1 species